AGGCCGUGAUGGGGACACUUGCGUAAUAGCUCCUUGAACCUUUCCCAUGUUUCAUAUAAGGAUUCCCCGUCCUCUUGUGAGUAUGUAUUAAUUUCAGCCAUUAAUUU
rfam:Helianthus annuus linkage group 10, whole genome shotgun sequence.